ACUAGCAGCUAUAAGCUGGAACAAGACAUUUUGUGACUUCACAGAGCACGCCUAAGGUAGCUUAACAUGUAUGCACCUCCUAGCUGGACAGUUGGCCUUUAAGCCUUCCAGAACGAAGGAGUAACUUUUUAAUAGUUGUAGACAUGCUGUCUAAUAUUACGCUUUCAGUCUCUGGCACAGGUAAAUUACUUCCAGCUCUCCAGCUGAGGUUAGUGGAAGCUUAAGAUCAAUCCUGAGGUCACAUCAAAAGUUCAAGAUAAGAAGAAAAUGAGGACUUCAGGUUACUCAAACGGAGUAAUGGACUUAAAUACAUAGUUUUGUUGCCCAUCAAGCAGAGAUAACCUCUCCCACACACUAACGACCUUGCGCAACACACAGUAUUACAGGGCAGGAGCCAGGCAAGGAGGUCUCCUGUCCCUCAAGCAAACAGCAGAGAAGCCCCCAGCACAGCAUCAGCUCUGCAGUUGUACCCACUGCAAACGAGCACCUGACUCCUCACUGGACCAACCUGAGCAAGAGAAUUCAGCUUCCACAAUCAGUAUGAAAACGUGACAAAUCAGCCUCUACAGACCACCAGGAAACCCACUACUUCAUCAGGUGCAGCAACAGAAGAAUACGCACUCAGCCUCAAGGAUUCAUUUUUGAAAACCAACUUUCCCUACUUGCUGCAAGGUAACUAACAAACAUACGUGGCAUCCAUCUCUUCUAGGCAUGCUUACAUUUAACUCAAUAACAACAUUCGCUGCUCAGUCAUUUUCCAACAGCAACAAGAAAGCGGUCCAUGUGAAAAAUAAACAGAACAAAGCAGGAACUACCUAUGCUAAGUACACAUCCAAGAAAGCACACGACACCUUCUGCACUGUUAAAACUGCAGUAUUUUUCAAUGAUUCUGCAGCUUCCAAUCUGUCCAACAGCCAUCUCUGAAGCUUAAGUUAAAAUAAAAAUUCUGCUUACUUGAAGGAAGCCACAUUAGCUGCAAUUGCAAAACGUUCAUUUACCUCAUUACGCUACAGGAUCGCUUUCUAAUUAGAUGACCCACAGGCAACCAAGGCGUAUAAAAGUAUCCCUCAUUUUGCAUCUACACUUCGAAAACUAAGAUAAUAAUAACACUAACAGUAAAACUUGUAUGUUCUGUAUCACCUGUUACACAAAGAAAUCAAUUUCUGCAGCUUUUUAUGCAUCAUUACUCAGACAUUUCAAGUUUCUUCUGUUUAGUGGAAGAUUACUUUCUCAGGGUCACUUCCUUACAACAACCUGAUGUGGCUGUGAGUUAAACAUCAGCAAGCUUUCUUCUCAGAUGUGCUGCUGCAGAAGGAACACAGUCAGAGCUGACAGCCCACAGGCAGACACAUUUCCUGACGGCUCUGGGAAUCCAGCCCAGAAGACAAAUAAACAGAUAAGGCUACAAGAACUCUUGAAGACUUCAAGCAUUCAAACAUUCAUAGAGCUUCUGGGAUAACACAAAUGUCUCAACCUCACAUUAUAUUCAAAACUUCAUUAGAAGUGAUAAAAAGUAUCAAAGUUUUAUUACUAAGCAUGCUAUUUAGGUUCACUACAUAGUUAUUGCCAGAACACAAAUAGCUGCUUAGGAAUAGACGUGCCAAAAAAACUAGUUGUAAUGACCUCAGCCUAACUAAUUCCACGUGAUACAAAACAACUGCUCAAAAUUAAGAAAAACCUAACAGUGGCAUGACAUAAACAAAAACUUUACGGACCAAGUCAAAUAUUUUUGGCAAAAAGUACUUCAUGAACUCAAAACAUAAUUUCUGCCAAAUUUAUCAGGAUUUCAGUGUUUUAAAAGAAGGAUUAAUUUUGCUUCUGGGAUUUAAAGAAAAAAUCAUAAGGCAGUAACAAAAGGGCCAAAUUCCACAUUUAUAAGUCAGAUUUAUUUCAAGGUGCACUUAAGAGACAAUAAGCGACUUGUGCCAACUUUCACACUAACCGUAACAGCACAGCCUGCUCACGUAAAGCCACGUACUGCUCGCUUCCUAAAGAGCGACAUUGGUACAGGGGCAGCAUCAGCCAGAAGGGAUUCUGCCCACUGGCAGGUGCUGCGCUGGGCUGUCAGAGCUGCUCCUCCUCAGCUGUUUCAUGCACAAGUGCUCUUUCACUGUUACUCACAUACCUGAGAUUUUCUUGCAGAGACUGGAUCCCAAAGUUUUGCUAGGCACAAGCCAUCCCCAACAACAACGUGAGGUCAGAAGGGCAAAGUAAAAGCCUCCCUACAUUAACCCAAGUCAUUUGAUGAAUCUUGACAGACAGCAUUUUCAACAUGCUCUUAAAACGCUGAUGUUAGACUAGAGAAGAGUGCACAAGGUGGCGGUGUUACUUCCGUCUAUGUGCUGGUCAGUAAAACAAGCAGGAGAGCUGCGCCACAAGCACGAACUGACACAACACCACAAGAGUAGCAUUUCAAGAUACACGGUUCUUUUCAAAUCAAGGCAGGUUUAGAAAAUUCAAUUUGGUCCCCAGGAAGCAUUAAUGCACAAUACCUGUAUGGCACACGCAUAAUGUAUCUAGCAGUUCUUGAAUGAAAAACUGGAAUAACAUUCUAGCUGUAAGAAGAUUUUAAAGUAUCCACACUGAGACUGUUCAGCAAUAUAUACAACUGUAGGCUACAGGGUUUUCUUUGUUGUAAAUUGUAAUUUACUUUUUUAUGCUAAAGCUAACCUGUUAGAUUAGGUAGGGUUUGAAUUAGGUCAGAAAUUACUGUCUCAUACUUUUAAAUGCUACAAAACUUAAUCAGAGCCAGUAACUAUAAACUUCCAUACUCCAAUAGCUGGAGGCAGGCAGACCUGCAGCCUGCAGAGAACUAGCUACAUUUUCAAACAGAGCAAAAUAACUGGGAGAGUGUUACAGACUGCCCCAUGCUGAUGAAAUAACAAAACUUGAGUCUGACAGAAAACUCUAUUCUGUAAGUACACCACUGCCAGAAGGACCACCACCAGUGGGAGUCAAAAGAAGAAGACCACCUAUGGAUAAUCUGACCCAAAUGUUUUGAUAUCAAGUCAGGGAUUCCAGAAGCUUCAAUUAUUUAUUAAGAUAUACUCAAUAUGCAUAAAAAGAAGUCUUCAAUUCGAAGUCUCUUACCUGCAAAGACAGAUGUUUUUUUCUUAACAAGUAGCAGAAGCCAAGCCAAUCCUGUGGGCAACCAAUUAAAACCAACUUUUAGACUGCAAUAAAGAAUAAAUGGAGGCAAAAAUCAAUGCAGGCAACACAACAGCAGUAACAGUCCACAAAGAACUGUAUAUACAGAAAGUUCAAACCUGCAACCACCACAAGGAACUGUGACAUACAACAGACAAGAGUAAGAGUGCAAUUUCUAAUACCUUCUCCCUGUAUUUCAAUAAUUGCACUGCAAUUCCCAUAUAGUUUGGGACGCGAAUAUGCCUUUGGCAAAGAAUGUAGCAAGAACCACAAAGCAUUCAAAGAAUCUUUCAAGUUUCCCCGUUUCCAACAGGUGAGCAGAUCACUCAAAAGCAAAGAUUAGAAAUCAAAUACUUGACAAUUCUGAAUUUUCACAAACCCUCACUCCAUCAACAACACCAGCGGUCCUUUCUCCAACUGUGCAUUUUCUUAUUCCAACAAAGCAACAUACGUCGCAUCCCAAAGUCUCCCUGCAGGCCCUCCCCUGGAGCCAGGCCGAAUGAUGAAAACAGGCACCGCUCAGAGCCACGUCCAGCCAGCACCUGUACAGAGCACUGUACGACCUCUCUGCUGAUGUACGGCACUUUCAUUCAUAAUCUGCUGUUUCAUAAUCCAUACCCUGACCAAAUGCCCAGGUUUUUCAUCCUUUAAAGUACAAAAUGUCUUCCUGGGAUUACAACUCCAUAAAAAAAUAAAUAAAUAAAAGAGAGAAAGCUCAGCAUUUUACAAGGCAACAUAUACAUUUGGUAUUUAAAAGAAGGGAUGGAAAAUCCUCUUUCAAUGCUUCACAUACAAUCUCAUACUGAAGAUUUCCUUCCCUGGAACGUUACCCAGAAAUGAACUACUCCAAGAACAAACACCUGUCUGCUCCUCAGACAACCCAAACAUGCAGUUUGCUGUUAUGAGCAUCAUUAUCAAAAUGAAAUUACAAACAAUUACAACUAAACCAUCCACAAACACCCUAACAGAAGGAAUCAAGAUGAGCAGAUAUAUGCACAGAUCUUCAAGGACAUUUAGAAGCAGGCUUACAAAUAAGAGAUACAACUAUACUUUUCAGAUAUUUAUUAAAAACACAUAUAAAAAAUUAAGACUGGUUUCAUAUAACAACUUAAAGAAAAAUCAGGCAAUCCUACAGUAAAGGGAUUCAAUUAUAUUCUUUCAUUUCUUGCAGUUUCAAUCAGUAGUUUACAAGGCAGGUAAGAACAUAACCACCUGAAAACCAGUUUCAUGCAAGACCACAUCUGCUUCCUGGAACAGAUAAAUCUUUCGUGCGCAAGGAAUGUUCUCCAAAACAAUCAUUUCAGAUACUUCCACUAUAGCAAUCACAGAGCUGCAGAUGCCCCUUUCCACAACAAGCUGAAGAUCCACAGUGGAGUAAGCAAACGUGCUACGAGGGCAGACACGGCGUACACCAAACCAAGCAGCGUACCUCAGAAAAGGUGCAAAGCUCCGUUCUGUGUUUAAACCUUCCACAAAACAUCACUUCUGUUCACAACUCUGAAUUCUGUCAGAGAGCACCCAUUGCUCUCAUAACGAUGUCCUUCCCAGCCAACCUCGCGUGCAGGAGCAUAG